rnacentral:tRNA from 2 species
CGGGAUGUAGCUCAACUUGGCAGAGCUAUGGACUGUAGAUCCAUCGGUUGCCGGUUCAAAUCCGGCCAUCCCGACCA